AAUCAACGCUGGCGGCGUGCCUCAGACAUGCAAGUCGAACGAUUAAACUUUCCUUCGGGGAAGAUAUAAAGUGGCGCACGGGUGAGUAACACGUAAGUAAUCUACCUUCGAGUGGGGAAUAACGUUCGGAAACGAACGCUAAUACCGCAUAAUGCAGCGGCACCUAAUGGUGACAGUUGUUAAAGGAGCAAUUCGCUUGAAGAGGAGCUUGCGGCAGAUUAGCUAGUUGGUAAGGAACGGCUUACCAAGGCUACGAUCUGUAACCGGUCUAAGAGGACGGUCGGUCACACUGACACUGAAUAACGGGUCAGACUCCUACGGGAGGCAGCAGUCGGGAAUUUUGGGCAAUGGGCGAAAGCCUGACCCAGCAACGCCGCGUGAAGGAUGAAGUAUUUCGGUAUGUAAACUUCGAAAGAAUGGGAAGAAUCAAUGACGGUACCAUUUAUAAGGUCCGGCUAACUACGUGCCAGCAGCCGCCGCAGU
rnacentral:rRNA from 1 species